GAUGAACGCUAGCUACAGGCUUAACACAUGCAAGUCGAGGGGAAACGAUAGAGAAAGCUUGCUUUUUCUAGGCGUCGACCGGCGCACGGGUGAGUAACGCGUAUCCAACCUGCCCAUCACUUGGGGAUAACCUUGCGAAAGUAAGACUAAUACCCAAUGAUAUCUCUAGAAGACAUCUGAAAGAGAUUAAAGAUUUAUCGGUGAUGGAUGGGGAUGCGUCUGAUUAGCUUGUUGGCGGGGUAACGGCCCACCAAGGCGACGAUCAGUAGGGGUUCUGAGAGGAAGGUCCCCCACAUUUGGAACUGAGACACGGUCCAAA
rnacentral:rRNA from 1 species